rnacentral:tRNA from 1 species
GAGGGUACAGCUCAGUGGUAGGGUGCAUGCUUUGCAUGCAUGAAGUCUUGGGUUCACUCCCCAGUACCUCCA